rnacentral:pre_miRNA from 1 species
CGGGGGAGGCCGGAUCCCGGGCUGUGUCCCGGCGCCCUGUGCUUCUGGUCUGCGCUGUUGGAAUUGCGCUCCCGCCCCGCAGCCCCCU